rnacentral:rRNA from 1 species
ACGGCUCAGUAACACGUAGUCAACAUAACCAAAGGACGUGGAUAAACUCGGGAAACUGAGGCUAAACCGCGAUAGAUCAAGAUACCUGGAAUGGUUUUUGAUCAAAAUCUAUAUGGCCUUUGGAUUGGACUGCGUCCGAUCAGGCUGUUGGUGAGGUAAUGGCCCACCAAACCUGUAACCGGUACGGGCUCUGAGAGGAGGAGCCCGGAGAUGGGUACUGAGAAAAGGACCCAGGCCCUAUGGGGCGCAGCAGGCGCGAAACCUCUGCAAUAGGCGAAAGCCUGACAGGGUUACUCUGAGUGACUUUCGCUAAGAAAGUCUUUUGACACCUCUAAAAAUGGUGUAGAAUAAGGGGUGGGCAAGUCUGGUGUCAGCCGCCGCGGUAAUACCAACACCCCGAGUGGUCGGGACGAUUAUUGGGUUUACAAGUCCUCCGUUAAAUCCAGCUGCUUAACAGAUGGGCUGCGGAGGAUACUAUAAGACUAGGAGGCAGGAGAGGCAAGCGGUACUCAGUGGGUAGGGGUAAAAUCCGUUGAUCCAUUGAAGACCACCAGUGGCGAAGGCGGCUUGCCAGAAUGCGCUCGACGGUGAGGGAUGAAAGCUGGGGGAGCAAACCGGAUUAGAUACCCGGGUAGUCCCAGCUGUAAACGAUGCAGACUCGGUGAUGGACUAGCUUUAUGCUAGUCCAGUGCCGCAGGGAAGCCGUUAAGUCUGCCGCGUGGGUAGUACGGUCGCAAGACUGAAACUUAAAGGAAUUGGCGGGGGAGCACCACAAGGGGUGAAGCCUGCGGUUCAAUUGGAGUCAACGCCGGGAAUCUUACCGGGGGCGACAGCAGGGUGAAGGUCAAGCUGAAGACUUUACUAGACAAGCUGAGAGGAGGUGCAUGGCCGUCGCCAGCUCGUGCCGUGAGGUGUCCUGUUAAGUCAGGUAACGAGCGAGACCCGUGCC